rnacentral:rRNA from 1 species
GAUGAAUGCUGGCGGCGUGCCUAACACAUGCAAGUCGAGCGGCAGCGAGUUUUCCACUGAAUUCUGGAAGCUUCUGGGUAGUACAGAAGUUUUAUUCAAGAGUUUUGUUUAAAGUUUCGGCUAGCGGCGGACGGCUGAUUAACGCGUAGUAAUUUUCCCCAAAGUGAGGAAUAACUGCCCGAAAGGGUAGCUAGUUCCGCAUAUGGUCUUCGGAUUAAAGCCUGCGGGCGCUUUGGGAGAAGCCUGCGUUGGAUUAGGUAGUUGGUAGGGUAAUGGCCUACGACGCCGACGAUCCAUAGCUGGUGUGAGAGGAUGAACAGCCAGACUGGAACAGAGACACGAUCCCGACUGCUACGGGAGGAAGGAGAGAGGAAUCUUCCACCAUGAGCGAAAGGCUGAUGGACCAACGACGGGAGAAGGAUGAAGGCCUUCGGGUUGUAAAUUUCUUUUAUGAGUGCAGAAUAUGACGGUAACUCAUGAAUAAGCACCGGCUAACUACGUG